AACGAACGCUGGCGGCAUGCCUAACACAUGCAAGUCGAACGAGACCUUCGGGUCUAGUGGCGCACGGGUGCGUAACGCGUGGGAACCUGCCCUUAGGUUCGGAAUAACUCCCCGAAAGGGGUGCUAAUACCGGAUAAUGUCUUCUGACAAAAGAUUUAUCGCCUUUGGAUGGGCCCGCGUUGGAUUAGCUAGUUGGUAGGGUAAAAGCCUACCAAGGCGACGAUCCAUAGCUGGUCUGAGAGGAUGAUCAGCCACACUGGGACUGAGACACGGCCCAGACUCCUACGGGAGGGAGCAGUGGGGAAUAUUGGACAAUGGGCGAAAGCCUGAUCCAGCAAUGCCGCGUGAGUGAUGAAGGCCUUAGGGUUGUAAAGCUCUUUUACCCGGGAUGAUAAUGACAGUACCGGGAGAAUAAGCUCCGGCUAACUCCGUG
rnacentral:rRNA from 1 species